UAGUGAUGCAUCUAGUCAAACUGUCAACCAGGAGCUUUCAGAUAUUUUCAAUGAGCUCUGGAAGCUGGAUGUGAAUCGCCUGAGCCCUGGGACUCAUUACAAUAUCUCACUACAGGGCAAAGCUGGUUACAUACCACAGGGAAGCACCAGUGCGGUAGACCACGCCUCAUCCUCACUGUUUACCAGUGUUGAUGAGGCCAAACUGAACUCCAUUACCACUUAUGGACGUAUGUUUCUUUUGC